rnacentral:lncRNA from 1 species
GAAUGACUAAUCUUUGAAUGCUACUACUUAAUUGUAAACCAAAGGCUGAACAUCAGCAUUGUUUAUAGUAGUUUUCUUCAGGUGCGCAUAUCUAAAGUGAAGUGAGCUGGGCAACAGCCAGUGGGAGCAACGAUAUGUGCAAAUCCACUCACUAGUUUGGGAAGUUGGGGGAGUGGAAAAGAAGGGGUGGAGAAUGUUUCUGCGACAAAAUAUUUGGCCUGAGUGGGUUGCAGCUCGCACAGGCUGCUACCGAGAUCCCAUCAAACAGCGGCGCUGCUCCCCUAUUGUAAACCACUGCAUUAUUGAUGGUUACAACUUUAAGUACUGUAAGGUUUUGGAUCCAAUAUACUACUUCCGUUUUUUUUAUUUGUCACAGUUUAGUUCAAAAAAAUGAACUAGCGAGCGACAAAUAUUCGAUGACGUGGGUAGUAUCAUGUAGGCGGAGAUGCUUCGUUUUGCCGAACCAAAUACAGAAAAUUAAAUACAAAAACAUAUGCAGAUUUACCGGUAUUUUGUGCAGAAAAGUAAUAUUGUCUAUAUGGUGUUCGCCAUCUCAGAUGGUUUGUUUUGUAUUUGACAUUCUCUACAUUGGAAAUAUUAGAGAGUAGAAUUAAUAGGGCCUUUCAGUGGUUUAAGUACACAAGUAAUGAUAUAUAUAAAUAUGACCUUUUUUGUUUUGUUUUGUUUGAGUAAUGCAGAUUUCAUCAGCUGUAGAGGUCGUUGGAAUUCAGUCACACAAACACAAAAGUUAGUCCAUUAUUGUUGCUUCCUAAUCAGCAUACAAAUUCUUGCUGGUCGUCAGUGGGAUCUCCAACUAAAAUGUGAUCUAAGUGAGCGCAUGCUUUACUUUACUUUUAGGUUUAAUAUAUCAGUCUUGCCUAGUUUUUCAUGCGCAUUUUCGUUGUCAAGUGGGUGCAGCUAUGGUACGAAUCAUUUUACAUGGUAGCCGGUGACCAGAUGAGCUAGCGGUUACAACUCGUCAGAACUCGGGGCCGUUUUGGAACCGUUCGGCCAGAACCUUUCUCUCUUUGGUUCUUUCCUUCGCAUGUAAGAUAUGGUUGAGGUCCUGGCUGACCACUCUGCAACAGAAGAAUCUCUCCACUUCACGUAAGAAUAUGCUCGGUUAGAAAAACAGAAGUGCAGACCGCAGAGCAAGCUUUCCGUUGAGAUUUGCCUUUGCCGAAAGUCCUAAAACCAAUAGGUUUUAUCCGUUUCCAUGUUUGUUUCAGGGUUGAUUAUGUAAGCUCCGUCUGCAAGAUUUUGGUCACCUAACAAAGGGUGGUAGCAUCUUCGUCCCCGAAAAGAAAGUAACAGCGUCGUCGCUGGAUCUUGGACAAAGUGUUUCAGAAGAGCCAAAUAUCGUCGCUGGAUCUUGGACAAAGUGUUUCAGAAGAGCCAAAUAUCGUCGCUGGAUCUUGGACAAAGUGUUUCAGAAGAGCCAAAUAUCGCCUUCGGCAUCACAGGUGCGAAGGAAGAUUGAGGAGAGACUUGCACGACACAUUUUGCGAAGGAAAGUACAACAAUGCCCCCAUUGGAUUUUGUGGAUCAUGCUUAUGAAGUUUAAGGGCACAAUUGUAAUUUCAUAUGAAUUUGUGUGUCACCCUAUUCCUAUAAAUAGAAAUACAGUGUCCACGCAGAGAGACGUUUUUCGGACAAUUCACGUGCUCAUCCUCCAUUGAAACUCUCUGUCUCCAAAGCUACUAAUACAAACACAUCUUCGAAUACCAACAAGUGUCCCAAAGGAAUCUUGACAUAUGACCAACAUUGGCGUCCAUCUCCAAUGAACUCACGAACGACCACGACCACUCAUCAUACCUCU